ACGAACGCUGGCGGCGCGCUUAACACAUGCAAGUCGAGCGGAAAGGCCUCUUUCGGGGGGUACUCGAGUGGCGAACGGGUGAGUAACACGUGAGUAACCUGCCCUUGACUUUGGGAUAACUUCAGGAAACUGGGGCUAAUACCGGAUAGGAGCUCCUGCUGCAUGGUGGGGGUUGGAAAGUUUCGGCGGUUGGGGAUGGACUCGCGGCUUAUCAGCUUGUUGGUGGGGUAGUGGCUUACCAAGGCUUUGACGGGUAGCCGGCCUGAGAGGGUGACCGGCCACAUUGGGACUGAGAUACGGCCCAGACUCCUACGGGAGGCAGCAGUGGGGAAUAUUGCACAAUGGGUGGAAGCCUGAUGCAGCAACGCCGUGUGCGGGAUGACGGCCUUCGGGUUGUAAACCGCUUUCGCUCAUGACGAAGCUUUGUGUGACGGUAGUGGGUAAAGAAGCACCGGCUAACUACGUG
rnacentral:rRNA from 1 species